rnacentral:RNase_P_RNA from 2 species
GGAGUCGGCUGGACAGUCGCGUCGCGUUCCCGUUCGCGGGAAGGCGCCGAGGAAAGUCCGGGCUCCAUAGGGCACGGUGCCAGGUAACGCCUGGGCGGCGCGAGCCGACGGAAAGUGCAACAGAAAGAUACCGCCGAUGGCUCCUCGGAGAUCAGGCAAGGGUGAAAUGGUGCGGUAAGAGCGCACCGCGAGUCCGGCAACGGACCGGCAUGGCAAACCCCACCGGGAGCAAGACCAAAUAGGGAGGCAAUGCCGCGGCCCGCGGUGUCUCCGGGUAGGUUGCUUGAGCGUCGCGGUGACGCGGCGCCUAGAGGAAUGGCUGUCCACGACAGAACCCGGCUUACAGGCCGACUCCGCCA